rnacentral:rRNA from 1 species
AUUGAACGCUGGCGGCAGGCCUAACACAUGCAAGUCGAGCGGAUGAGUGGAGCUUGCUCCAUGAUUCAGCGGCGGACGGGUGAGUAAUGCCUAGGAAUCUGCCUGGUAGUGGGGGACAACGUUUCGAAAGGAACGCUAAUACCGCAUACGUCCUACGGGAGAAAGCAGGGGACCUUCGGGCCUUGCGCUAUCAGAUGAGCCUAGGUCGGAUUAGCUAGUAGGUGAGGUAAUGGCUCACCUAGGCGACGAUCCGUAACUGGUCUGAGAGGAUGAUCAGUCACACUGGAACUGAGACACGGUCCAGACUCCUACGGGAGGCAGACAGUGGGGAAUAUUGGACAAUGGGCGAAAGCCUGAUCCAGCCAUGCCGCGUGUGUGAAGAAGGUCUUCGGAUUGUAAAGCACUUAAGUUGGGAGGAAGGGCAGUAAGUUAAUACCUUGCUGUUUUGACGUUACCAACAGAAUAAGCACCGGCUAACUUCGUG